UUUUAAUUUGCAAUGUUUCCUAGAGGGGUGGUAGAUGUCCCAUCCCUGGAGACACUCAAGGUCAGGCUGGAUGGGCUCUGAGCACCUGAUGGAGCAGUGGGUGUUCACUGCAUGGGGGUUGGACCUGAUGGCCUUUAAGGAUCCCUUCCAACUCAAACAAUUCUGUGAUUCUGUUUUCUCCAUCAAAAUCUCUAUGGUGUUUGCACACAUGUAUCAUGAGCCCUGGAAGUUUUCAUCUGGAAACCUGCAUGCUGGAUGUGGCUCCUCUGGUCUCCCAGCCUGGCCUCCUGUUUGCCUGUUGAGAAAGCUCAGUGCCCUCGUUGAAUCCCUCCCCAGACUUCCCAGAACUGCGGAGCUCUUCUCUGGAAGCGCGAGGAGAAUGCUGUGCUCGUCUGGAAGGUCAAACAUCCUUCUGGGUUCACAGGAGCAGACCUGCCAAGUCAAGAGCGUGCCUGUGCGCACGGAGGAGCACAGCAGAGCUGCAGCAAUGUGGGAGCUCAGCUGCUGCUGCGCUGGGUGUCAGCUGCCUACUGCAUGGGCUGAGUGCAACUGCAGCAUGUCCCAG
ensembl:lncRNA